CUUUUUUUCUAGCUUUCUUUUGGAAGACACCAACUAACGGAACACACUUCACAGAGCCUGGUUAUCGCGACACAACUAAAACAACAUAUAUCGCUGACAUUUGACUUCACUUAUAGCCUUUUAUAAUCAAAUUGAUAAAGUGCAAGCCCAAUAAACCACAAGAGACAACGAAAAAUUCGACCAAAUCCUGCCAAAAACUAUGCGAGUAACCUUUAAACAGGGUAUACCAGCAUUCCUCUCUUCAAGCCUAUAAAAUGCAACCCAAAAAAUUUGUACUUCAGGCUGCUUCUAAAAAGGGCAUUACGCCGGAUAGUAUCCCUGAAGUAUAUGUUCAAACGGUUCGGUGUAAUAGUGCAUACAGAAAAGAAGAAUAGUGAGCUACUACUUGUAAUGCAAAUUUAACCGGAAGAAGCAAAUAUAUAUUUAUUGUAUUCGCUUAACUACAAGUUUAGCUGUUCGCUGUGAGAGAGCAAAGUAUUGAUGGAAAUCUGACGAAGAAAUUUUGCAACGAAGGAAAACAUCUGGUAAAGCAACAGCUGUUUGCAAUUCAAGAAUCAAAAGUUUUAUUUAAAAAAAAUUAAAAUAAACAUCGCAUUAUUAUAAAAUAAAUAUAUAGG